rnacentral:lncRNA from 1 species
CGUGAAGGGCGAGGACGACUCUCAUGGUGGGAGCGGAGGCAGGGUGUCCGAAAACUUUGAUAGCUGCCAUUGAUUUAAUUACAAAGAAACAAGUUUAGAGAUGUGUUUGAUGUUGAAGGUGAAGGUGAAGGUGAUUAAAUAAGACACCAAGUAGUGAUGUAUUUAUACAAGUAAAAAGCAGAGCAUUUUGUGCAUUCUCAUUAAUGCUAUAAUAUUAUUUAACAGAUAAAUAACGCCACUACAAGACCGUCGCCAUCAAUAUUGACUAGUCUGCAGUUGGAUGAUUUUUCAAAGUUGAAUUGGACUGAUUAACGUUUGUAUAUUUGUUUUCACAUUUGGUUAUAAUGAUGAAGUUUUUUUUAUUCUUCUAGAUAAAGGAUUUAAUGUCAUCAGAGAAAAGAUCAAACAAGUCUGUAGUAACUGCCAAAUUACUCAAACUGCCACCUUAUAGUCAAGCAAGCUUCAUCUAGUAACAUGACAUCUCUUGACGCUUGGUUAUUACCGGUUCAGUCUAUGGCUUUCCCAUUCCGGUUUAAAAGAUUUCAUUUUGAUAUAACAAUUGUUACUGGAGUGUUGAAGAAAGUGGUUUGGCUUAGUAUGAAUAAAGAAUGAUAACCAAAGAUGUUAAGAGGAUGAAAUUUCAAAGGUUUGCUUUCCUUUAUCUCUAUUCUUUUGUUGACAAUAUGUAGAAAAAUACACAAGACGACAACAGAAAAGUAAACAAUUGGUAGCCAAUCAGAUUCCCUUAAGCUGUCCUAAAAGACCUGUCAAGCUUGUCCAUUUCUCAAAUGCACUAGCCGAUGACACAAACGCGAGCUUAGAUGACUCUAUGUCGGUUCUUAUUCACUGUGUAAACAAAUUAAAACCAAGUUUCAAGAAGAUCUUUACUGUGUUUUAAAUGGAUAAUUAAAUUCUUUUGAAUGGAUAAGUUAGAAAGGAGAAGAAGAACGAACCUGAUGUAAUAAGAGAUGAGUUGAAUGUUUCCACUUCUGUAUUCUCAUACGGGCUUGAACUCAACUGUCAUUACAAGAAGGAGCUUCAAAAAUACACUUACAUAUCAUGUUCUUAAAACCAAAAAGAAAUGCUUUUAGGUUUGGGAACCAAGAUGACAAUGACAAAAACAGAAAUCAAAUUUGUUCACAAAAGAAUUCAAACUUUUCCAUUUGUUCUGAUUACCCAUGUAAGUAACGUUGGAGCAAAGCCAAGUGAACUAUGAAGGAAACAACGCAAAGAGAAGGCACAUUUGUCCUUAGAAGAGUAAAACUUCUCCAUCAGUUUGUUUUGAUUACUACUUCAUGUAGUUUUGGAAGAGGAUAAGUGAAACAAAAGUAGACUAGGGUUUAGUGUAAGAGGCAUUGGAUCAAACCAAUUAAUAACUAUGAAGACGGCUGAUUGUUAAGGUUACUGUUAAAAUAUAGAAAAGGAAGUGAGAAAGUAAGUAGAAAAAAGCCAAUUAAUAAACCAUUUUGAACGCGCCCACGCGCCCCUCUUCGUGCGAUCUAGAAAGCGAAACCUAAAUCUCAAUUUGAUCUUGUCUCUCGACGACUCAGCCGUUGACGCCUCCUCCCUCCGGCGAAUCACCAAGCUAUUACCGGCGGGAAGCUCUCUCGGUCAACUCCUCUCACAUCUCCGGCGAUUUCUCAUCAUGGAGCCUCCUGAGACUCUAAGUUCCGAAAUCGAAGGUGUUAAUGGUGAAGAGGAUCAACUGGAGGUUCAGACCAACAUCAUCUCUUCUGACUCAGGAACUAGGAUGUCUUGCAAGGAAAAGGCUAAGAGCAUGAACUCUGACAAGCUUCAAGUCCCUUCGACGGUCACGCCUGAUUCUUGUGCUUUUGGAGAAGCAUCAACGGAGGUGGGCCAAACGAUUUCAAAAGCUACUUCUCAUGUGCUCGCGGGUCCUGCUUUGCCUCAGCCUCAGCUCCAAGGAGCUUUGACUAAACCGUUGUUGAUAACUGGAGCUACAUAACGUUCAACGAUGCUUUCUGAUAACCCUGUAACGGAAAACUCUGAAUGGCCAGCUCUUUCAACCAGGGAUAUAGGUAGGAAGAAGAAUAAGUCUUCCGUUGACAGAACAAAGGCUACACAACAAACAAAACUAGUUGAUUCUUCCUCGAGUCAAAGAGUAAAGCUUCCUACUGAUUAGUCUCGGUUUCCUUGGGCUGAUCGAAUGAACCCGCAAACAAGGAACCUCCAUCGCGUGACAGUACCCGAAUAUAUGGAGGAUGGCACUCCUAAGGUAACUAUUCUAGACCAUGUACUACUCCAUGGUUUGCAAAACCAUAGGGAAUAUGUGAUAGGACAGUUUUACCGCUGUCUGGUACCGUCUGGUGGGUUAGUGUAUGCUGUUCUGAAUAGGAUUUGAGGUAGAAAAUGUGAGAUUUUCGUCAGGAAAAUUAGUGAAUUCUCUUAUAUCUUCCACAUCCCAGAUGAGGCUACUAGAAAAUUUGUUCUCCAGCGUAGUUUAUGGCAUGUGGAUGAUUGUCUCAUGUUUGUUGCUCCGUGGACUUCUUUCGAAUCUUUAACCCUUCCUGAAAUUACAUCAAUUCCGCUUUGGGUCACACUCAAAAACAUCCCAGCAAUCUAUACUCCAUCCUAGGAAUCAAAUGGAUUGCUUCAGGAGUAGGAGAACCAAUGUUAUCUUACAAACCUUGGUUAGAUCCAACUAUGAUAGGAUAAGCUAAGAUUAUGGUGGAAGUUGAGUUAGAUAAACCUUUUCCACAGAAAGUUGCUGCUUGGGAUAAGCAAGGGAACUUUUCUUUGGUUGAUGUGGAAUACUCUUGGCUUCCUACAUCAUGUGAGAGAUGUGGUCAGAUUGGGCAUAAAUCAAAGAGAUGUUUAUCUAUUUCUGGUCUUAAGGCAGCUACACCAGCUACUGAGAGAAAGGAUUCAGUAGUCGCCCAUGUCUUUGAAUCACCUACUGAUGCUUCACAACCCGAAAUGAAUAUUCAUAAAGUCAUAGAUGUCUCUUCAGAAACAUCACAGGAAGCUGCUGUGGCUAAAAGAGAUGCAACACUUUCAGAUAUUCUAAUCCCAUCUCAAGCUAAAGAAGCUAUGUCAAUGGCAACGAUACAAGCAUCUAACUCUCAAAGAUGUAUUUCGCAUGCUCCUGUUUCAGACCAGCCAGCUACACCAAAAGAUGAUACAUCUUGCAUAUGUGAUGAGGUGAUUGAAAAAAUUAAUUCUACUGAUAUGGAUGAUCUGGUUUCUGUAGCUACUAUUUCAGUGCUAGAAAACUUGUAUGAGUCACCAACAGUUAUUUGUGUCAAUGAAACAAUUGAGUCUCCGCUUACGGAGUCUGCCCUAAUAAAGCAACACACAGAGUCUUUAGUCAUUCAAACCUCAGCCGAGGUUUGCAAGGAAAGUAGCAGAAUGCAGAAGAUUGAUUUGGGCUCAAAUCAGUUUGCCUCUUUAACUUCCUUAGAAGGAGAAAAAGAAUAUCAAUUGGAAUUGGAUGAAAGUUCUGGUCCAAUAGAACUUUUGACACUUUCAGAGAAAAGACUCCUUCGAGAAAGACCGGUUGAACCCUCAGCAAAAGGUAUGGAAUGGCAAUUGCAAUCCACGUCUCGCGGACGAGGAAAUAGAGGACGUGAAAACCGUGGGAGACUACGGUAGAAACGACUUUUUACCCCUCUAAAGUCAACCAAAAUCAUGCUUUGGUAGUCUCUUGUUUAAUUAUGAUCAUUGCAUCUUACAAUCUUCUCUCAAAUUGUAUGACUUCGGUCAUAGCCUACUAUGUAAUUGUUUUUUCAAAUAAAAGUAUGUUAAAAAAAAGUUACUGUUACAUGUAACUUCACAGACAAGCUUGGCAAUUUUCUCAAUACAUAGAUAAAAUAACAACAACUAAGUUCUGCAAUACGCACACAACAAAGGUGUAAAAUUGUCUCUCGAUCUUCUUUUUUGAUAGACUAGGUUGUGUUUUCCUCCCAUCACUUGCUCUCACAAUCUCAUAUAUUUUUUUAUUUUUUUUUACAGUCUUGAUUUUUUUGGUGAAAGUUUCAGUAAUCUGAUGGUUUAACCAAAGAUUUAUUAAUAUUACACAUAAAGAAGUUUGGGUUUGGAGUAUUGAAGAACACGAUUUAUUAAAUAAUUAUGCAUAUUUACAGGUGAAAGAUUUACAUGUGAUCUUCAUAAGGGUGUAAGUAAAAUCGGUUAGACGUGAAUUUGAUUCGCAUAAACCAUAUAAAAUUGUCGGUAAUUUUUUUAUAAUUAUAAUACAUAAUAUAUAAGAUUUUUUUUUAAAAACUUAUAUUUCUCCAUGCUAGUAGAUUUAAAAACUGAAACAUUUACAAGGCCCAUAUCCAAGACUUGGAGUCUCAACAGGCCCGACCCAAUUCUUUUCAAAACGUAAACCCUAGCUACCUCCAUCGUCUUAUAUAUAUUGCCGUCCGCGACUUCUCCCAACUCAGCGAUUACAAUUUAAAGCUGACCCAACCUUUAUAUCUCUUCUUUCAUUCCACAUUCGUGUUUCAAUGUUUCGUUAAUCUGUUUUCAAUUUUGGCUUUUAUGGGAAAAAUUCUGGUCUCCUCGAAUUCGGGUUAAUAGUGAAGGCAGUGAUGAUGAAAAUCUACCUAUUUUAUGAGUAAAACUCUGAUUAGAAAUUUUACCAAUGGAUCCUUCUGAGCCUUCACUUUCAACUUUUUAAUUGAUUUUUCCUGAUGAUGAUUUGAUUUCUCUUUGGAGUUCGGAUGAGAAAGAGCCAAUGACAUGAUGAUAACGAUUGUUCGGAAACAUAAUGUCGACCAAAACUCAGACUACAAUUAUCUGAUCGUAUGGCUUCUUAUCUUAUCUCCUAACUCAAUCUUUUUGUUAGUUUCUAGAUUAGGGACAUAGAUAGUUUAGGACACGGUUGUAUUAUUAGACUUAAUCGAAUUUUUAUUAACUGAAUAGGAAUUUAUUAUAACAAAAAUUCAACAGUCCGAAUUAAAGCUGCUUCUACCUUGACUCAUAUCUUGCAACGUAUCACGGACGAAAUUAAGUUAUAUUAUCUUUUGGACAGCUAAAAACGAACUGGUUCAGUUUGCAUCUACCCCACGGUUGUUUACAGACAAUUUUCAGCUAAUUAGCACUUUUAAGCAUCAGAAUUAGAUAUUUAUGGAUCUGAAAAUCCUCUUAUUAGAUCAUGUCCAACAAUGGGUACAUUUAUAAAUAUCCAAUAAAUGUCCUCUUAUUGGCUAUAUUUUUUGUUUUUAAUUAAAUUUUAUUUAUUUAUAAAUAUCCAAUAAAAUAAAAAUAUUCAACUUUUGAGAAUUUCUCUUGAGGACCUCAUCAACGAAGUUGCACUUAAAAAUUGGGUGGGCGAUAAAAUGAGACCAGUUCUUACAAUCUAUCUAAAUCACUAAUGUUCCGGUUAUUGUCAUCUCUUAAACAUGUAAACGUGUGUCUCAAGGGAGCAGGACGCUAGCUGUACCGUGAAAUCCAAGUAUUUGGUAUUAAAAGAACUCGAGUCUCAUUGUAUAUGUUUUAACGCCAACUUCUGUUUUGGUUACAACAAGGAUGAUGAUAAGAAAAGUUUUCUAGAUGGUUGUUGUUGUGCAUCAUGUUAGGGUGGUUUCUACUUGGUUGGUUGUGCAUCAUCUUGGAUGCAAUCCCCUUAGAAUAAGAUGUGUAGUAACCAUUCCGACUCUGCUGGUACUUCAGCUGUGCCCAUUUGUCCUACUGUUUCCCUAACCGCGUAACAAUUUGUCAAGAUUGAUUGUUGUUGAAGUUCUCGACUCUGAUGAACUAACUUGUCCUAUUUUCAUAGUUUGUUGUUGGUCUCUUUCUGAGAGAGGCAAAGUGAGCGAGUUAUAUGCUGAUGGAGCACGUCAAGGGAUUGUCCCUUGACUGUUCCUUUGAUGAUUACCAUCACUGCUGGAUAUACUCAAAUCUAGCAACUGCAUGACUAACUAGGUUUUGCCUUGAAAAUGGCUCUGCAAAAAUGGAACGGAAACACUAACUUUAGAAACCAAAUAAGAAUUAAGUGAACACUAAGGGCUUGUAAUGAGGCAACCUGCUCAUCAGGUUUGAUCCAAUAGCUAAAAUAAUCUUUUGAGAGAGCUAGCUAUAGCUUCCAUUUCUUUGGUUUCUUUCAGUUAACCAUAUAUAUGACUAUUUGUCAUGAGACGUUUAGAACUUCAAGUGGUGCUGGAAUCGUCUUACUAACCAAUCUUUUUAAAAUUCUCAAUUCUGAACUUCUUUAAUAAUUAGAAGAAAAAACAUUUACCACCCAAAUUAAAACUAUGCUGGCAAAAAAAACUAAAGUUUUAACAUAUACCGAAAAACAAAACUAAAGACUCUGCACGGGUAUGAUCACGAAACAAUGCAAAACAGACCUAAACCUUUGAAAAAAAAACUGUAAAUAGCUCGUAAAUGCUAUAUUUAGAGAAAAAUAACACUCGUAACAUUUUCUUGUUUGGAUUAGAAAGAUCUUGUAAUCAAUGUAGCCGCCGGGGACCAAAAAUGUGUGAAAAGUACUGAGUCAAACUGAUUGGAAUUUUUAUUUGUGGAUUAUUGUGUAUAUAAAUAUAGGUGGGCAUGGAAGCGUGUUUAUAUACCAUCAACACUUCCUUCUUCUUUUCUUCUAUCAGAAUUGAAUGAAUACCAUUUCUAUCACUCUUGUCUUUUUUUUCUUGUUCGUUUAUAAUUACCAGGCCGUGUCUGCGGCUCCAGAGCAAAUGGUCACACUUGUCGAUUUCAGAAACGAGUCCAAGGUUCUCAACUCUUCCUUUACAGUUAUAUUAUCAAUACUAAACCCAGACGGACUCAUGGGCUAAUAACGACUUGUUGUAAUUGGAAAUCUUUCUCGACUCACGUCUCUCGACCUUUCGCACAAUAGUUUCACCUGUCGCAUUCUUUCUUCGAUAAUAAAACUUUUUUGGUUUUUGAGUCAGAUUCCAUCUUCAAUUCUAAAUCUUUCUCAUCUCGUUUCUUUUGACAUUUCAUUUAAUAAAACUUUGGAUCAUAUUCUUUCUUGGAUUGAAAACCUUUAUUAUCUUGACAAACUCGACUUUUCUAUUAAUAUUUUUUUUGUGGUCCGAGUAUGCCUAUAAUAGGAAACUUUUUUCAGCUCACUUUUCUCGGUCUUUCUAAUAACACUUUUGUUGAUCAAAUCCCUUCUUUUUUUAUGAAAUUUAAACCAGCUGACCACCUUGGAUGUUAGUUCCAUCACGCUAUGUGAAAUAUCAGUAGCUGCAUCUGCUUACAAGUACAUAGUUCUACAAGAAAAAUUUCAAAAUGAACUCUUUCUGUUGAUGCAUUUUUCACAAACUAUGUAACUUAUGUAUUUCAUCUAAUUGGUUAGGCGCCCGCUUUUGAGAACAUGGACUAAAAACACUUUAACCACUCAUAAAUAACUAAAUAUUGUUUUCAUAUGUAUACAGUCAAUGUCAGUUAAAAUACUUUCUUUGUUCACAUACCAGUGUAUUUAUUUACUUCCAUUGAACCUAGAAAAUUAAUUCAAAAUUGGGUAUCUUCCACUGAAAACUCAAUUUUGGAUGUUUCAACAAAAAAAAAAAAUGUAUAUGAGAAAGAAGGAAAUAUUAUUCUAAUUGACAUAAAAUGUAUGAUAUGUUAAAAUAAUAUUCAGUUUGUAUUAUAACCAAAAUGCUUGGUUAGUGAAGUGGUUUAAGCUAUUGUUGAUUGAGUUUUCUUGUUUGGGUUUGAGUUUUACCUAAGAGAAUUCUUUAAAUUUCAUUUUUAUUAUAAAUAUCUUGUUUUUGUUUUUACACUAUUAAUAUUAAUAUUUACUUUAGCCAAAUAGUUAAAAUAUUUAAUCUGAGCUUCUUUGCAUUUUUUUGCGCAAAAGAUAUUCCAUGAAUAAAAAAAUUUAAAAGUUUGAAAAAUAGUUAAAUGAUGUCGUUUCAGAUAAAUACACCAUGUAUGAUGUGCGAUCAACCUACUAGCUGCGGUAAAAAUACAUUUAAAAACAAUUUCAAAAUGUUCAUAUAUUUUUUUUUAAGGUUUUUUUUAUGGAAUACGCAUUGUUCGUGUAGAGAAAAAAUGAGCUUGCUAUAUAUUUUUCUCAAUAGUUCUAUAAAUGCAUAAUGCUUGGUGGCAAACAAAAGGCAGCGUUUUGAUAUAAUAGAUCCGUACUAAGAAAAUGAAGAUGCUAAUAAAUUAGAAAAAGUUAAAUAGAAAAUAGAGAAAUGCCUUAGGAUAUCACUAAAUUUUUUUUUAUCGCAAAUAUAGACUAUAAAGAUCAAAAUGUUUUAUUAAAAAGUAAGUAUACAUUUAUAUCCUUAUGUUUAACUAAUUCAAACCUUAUGAUUUAGAGUUAACGGGUGGAGAUUUGUAUUUGUAAUUUAUAGAGGUGAGUAGUUCCAGAAUUUGUGUUGUCUUGUCAUUUUCAGAUCCCACAAGGCAUAGAGUCUUUUAAGGAUAAGAACGUUCAAAGUCUUAGGGCAGCUACUUAUCUCAGAAAAAAAGGUAGAAAGUAAAAACUUGCAAAGACUAAUCAAACAAAGUCUUUGUGCUCACUGAUCAGUAACUCUGUAGUCAAGACAUUGCAACCUUUGUAUUAAAUAAGUAACUAAUCUUUUUAUUAUAGAAGAGCUUGAAGAUUAGAUAGUUUAUGAUUCAAGAAAUAUCGCUCAAGAACACACACUUAGUUAUAACUGAGAAUAAAAACAGAGUACUGAGAAAUUGGGAAUGGGGCAGUCACUUAUUAACUCUGAGCAUUAUUACUGUGACUGAGGCAGAACCUUUUAGUAACUUAUCACUGAAGGAUCUUUUGGGAAGCUGGCCUCUUGGUGAUCUCAGCCACCCACUCGUUGACACGUGGACGCUCGGUGAAGAGCUUCUUGGUGGGAGUUCCAAGCAAGUAUUUAAUCGUAGGAAUGUGGUGAAGAUCGGUCAAAGUAAAAGUGUCACCAGCCAAGUACUUGAACUCCUUGAGCCGAGCCUCGUACACGUCUAGGACCUUGGCUAACUUAGCCUCCUCUUCGGCAACAACGGCUUGGUCUGUGGUCAAGCCUUUCUUGAGCUUAAAUACUUGUUCAGAAACAAGCUUUGCAGCCACUGGCUCGAACUGGUGAGCUUCUACUUGCAUUCCAAUGGCCAUGAUUGCGUAGUGAGCUAUGUUCUUGGAGUCUGCCGGGAGAAGGUUGGUUCCUUGGCCUUCGUAUCGGUGAGCUAUGUAUUGAGUAAUAGCUCUUGAUUCUACACAAAAGAAACAAAUCAUGUUAGUGAAUGUUUCUUCUUCUUCUUUAUGUAUAUUGUCAAAUCAUAUUUGAGAUGAUCCGUGAAAACGUUCGUACCAAAAAGCUUGAGGUCUCCAUCUUCAAAGGCCGGAACUUGACCAAAAGGCUGCAAUAUCAAUCAAACGCAAAAAGUUCAAUAUUUAGACCAGAUUGAUCUAAAUUGUUGACAUAGGCAGCUAAUUAGGGGACAAGCUCCUCACUUAAUCUUAGUUGUUAAGUAGCUCAAUUUUUUAUAAUAUACAUAAUUUUUUAUACAAAAAUAAAAUUUGAUUAAUUAGAUUGAAAAGGGCCCAAGAUAUUUUAUAUGUGUAUAGUUUUGUUUUUUUCAUGAAAUUUACAAAAAAAAAUUACUAAUAAACUUUUAAAAGUUCAAAAAAUAAAAAUAAACAUUAAUUAUAAGAGCUUUAAUUUUUUUGCCCGGUCCUGAGUGUUCGUCUUGUCUCACAACAACACAGAUAGAUAUACUUACGUUGCGGGCUAGGAAAGCCUCUUUCUUGUGUUCACCUCCCAUGAGGUCGACAUGAACGAACUCAAAGUCGAGGUUUUUCUCGUGAAGGGCGAGGACGACUCUCAUGGUGGGAGCGGAGGCAGGGUGUCCGAAAACUUUGAUAGCUGCCAUUGAUUUAAUUACAAAGAAACAAGUUUAGAGAUGUGUUUGAUGUUGAAGGUGAAGGUGAA